rnacentral:rRNA from 1 species
CCUACGGGAGGCAGCAGUGAGGAAUAUUGGUCAAUGGGCGCGAGCCUGAACCAGCCAAGUCGCGUGAGGGAAGACGGUCCUAUGGAUUGUAAACCUCUUUUGUCGGGGAGCAAAAGACGCCACGCGUGGCGGUCCGAGAGUACCCGAAGAAAAAGCAUCGGCAAAAGCCGUGACAGCAGCCGCGGUAAUACGGAGGAGGAGAGCGGUAUCCGGAUGUAUUGGGUUGAAAGGGUGCGCAGGCGGAAGAUCAAGUCAGCGGUAAAAUUGAGAGGCUCAACCUCUUCGAGCCGUUGAAACUGGUUUUCUUGAGUGAGUGAGAAGUAUGCGGAAUGCGUGGUGUAGCGGUGAAAUGCAUAGAUAUCACGCAGAACUCCGAUUUCGAAGGCAGCAUACCGGCGCUCAACUGACGCUCAUGCACGAAAGUGUGGGUAUCGAACAGGAUUAGAUACCCCUGUAGUC